AUUGAACGCUGGCGGCAGGCUUAACACAUGCAAGUCGAGCGAGCGGCGGACGGGUGAGUAAUGUCUGGGAAACUGCCUGAUGGAGGGGGAUAACUACUGGAAACGGUAGCUAAUACCGCAUACAAUCAGAUGAGCCCAUAUGGGAUUAGCUAGUAGGUGGGGUAAAGGCUCACCUAGGCGAGUAUCCCUAGCUGGUCUUAGAGGAUGACCAGCCACACUGGAACUGAGACCCGGCCCAGACUCCUACGGUAGGCAGCAGUGGGGAAUAUUUCACAAGGGGCGCAAGCCUGAUGCAGCCAUGCCGCGUGUGUGAAGAAGGCCUUCGGGUUGUAAAGUCCUUUCAGCGAGGAGGCGUUACCCACAGAAGAAGCACCGGCUAACUCCGUGCCAGCAGCCGCGGUAAUUC
rnacentral:rRNA from 1 species